UGCUGACGAGUGGCGAACGGGUGAGUAAUACAUCGGAACGUGCCCGAUCGUGGGGGAUAACGAGGCGAAAGCUUUGCUAAUACCGCAUAAGAUCUAUGGAUGAAAGCAGGGGACCGCAAGGCCUUGCGCGAACGGAGCGGCCGAUGGCAGAUUAGGUAGUUGGUGGGGUAAAGGCUUACCAAGCCUACGAUCUGUAGCUGGUCUGAGAGGACGACCAGCCACACUGGGACUGAGACACGGCCCAGACUCCUACGGGAGGCAGCAGUGGGGAAUUUUGGACAAUGGGCGCAAGCCUGAUCCAGCCAUGCCGCGUGCAGGAUGAAGGCCUUCGGGUUGUAAACUGCUUUUGUACGGAACGAAAAGCCUUCUUCUAAUAAAGGGAGGUCAUGACGGUACCGUAAGAAUAAGCACCGGCUAACUACGUGCCAGCAGCCGCGGUAAUACGUAGGGUGCAAGCGUUAAUCGGAAUUACUGGGCGUAAAGCGUGCGCAGGCGGUGAUGUAAGACAGAUGUGAAAUCCCCGGGCUCAACCUGGGAACUGCAUUUGUGACUGCAUCGCUGGAGUACGGCAGAGGGGGAUGGAAUUCCGCGUGUAGCAGUGAAAUGCGUAGAUAUGCGGAGGAACACCGAUGGCGAAGGCAAUCCCCUGGGCCUGUACUGACGCUCAUGCACGAAAGCGUGGGGAGCAAA
rnacentral:rRNA from 1 species